GGAGUCGGGCAGGUGGUCGCCGGUCUCGCAAGAGGCUGGAGGAAAGUCCGGACUCCAAGGGCAGGGUGCUGGGUAACGCCCAGGCGGAGCGAUCCGACACCGGCGCAACAGAAAGCAUACCGCCGAUGGCCGGCGUUCGAAAGAGCGUCGGAUCAGGCAAGGGUGAAAUGGCGGGGUAAGAGCCCACCGCGGUCGUGGCGACACGGCUGGCCGGCAAGCGUCACCUGGAGCAAGGCCAAAUAGGAGGGCACGAGGAGCGGGACACCGGUGCUGCUCCUCAACGGCUGGCCCGGCCGAGGCCUUCGGGUAGGCCGCACGAGGCCCGGAGCAAUCCGGGCCCCAGAGAAAUGAUCACCGCGAUCUUUCCGCAAGGGAAGGUCGGCACAGAAUCCGGCUUACAGCCCGACUCCCACA
rnacentral:RNase_P_RNA from 1 species